UUUUCAUUUGUUUAUCUACAUUGUGUGUAUUGUCAGGAUGCAUCUGCGUGGCCUAAAUAAAUAAUUCCAAGGGGGCAGGCAAUGCCAUGAAAUGGGUUUGAGCUUUGAUUUUGUUCUUUUUGUUCUCUUCUGCUUCUUUAAUUUCCCACGUGCUUUUCAUUUGUUUAUCUACAUUGUGUGUAUUGUCAGGCUGCAUCUUGUUGGCCUAAAUAAAUAAUUCCAAGGGUUCAGGCAACGCACGAAAUGGGUUUUUGAGCCAAGGCUACGUGAUUUUGCUCUUUAUAUUCUCUUAUGCUUCUCAAUUUCAGUCUUUUCAUUUCUUUAUCUGCAUUGUCAGGCUGCAUCUGUGUGGCCUAAAUAAAUAAUUUCAAGGGGUCAGGCAAUGACUU